ACUCCCCUUCAGCAGAGCAUCCACUACAGCUGGAACAAUACAGAUCACCAUGGCCCCUGCGCAAGGAUGACACCGUUGGGUAUUACCUGGAGUAAGAGGCU
rnacentral:snRNA from 1 species